CUGCAAUUGACGAGUCCCAAAUAGGGCGAAACGCGCGUCCUGGAU
rnacentral:hammerhead_ribozyme from 1 species